AUGGACUUCACAGGUGUGGCCACAUGGCAAUUAGCAGCUGAAUAUUAUACAGAGAAUAUUAACAAUAAAUUGUAAAUCGAUUAAAAAAAAAAUGAUUUAGAAUGAAAGAACAGCAUCUUUAUCUUCGACAGACUCGACCUGGAGUUUGUUUUAUUCUGUGAUCUGAUGUGUUGCAGCCACGGUCCAGCGCACAAACCAACUCCACAGAAGAAGCAAGGACACAGGUGGCUAAAAUACGUUUUGCUCCCGAGCUGGUACUCCUGUCUGUUUCUCCAAACUGGGGGCGUGCCGAGCGUCAUCUACUGUAGGUAAUACACUGACUAUGGGUAAGUACCUCGUAAAACCUCACUUCUAAACACCCAAACUAUCC